AUGCGCCCCAGCCGCACCAUUUGUCGCCACCCUCUCCUCUCCGCCCCUUCUUUGUCCCCGGCUGCAGCCGCCCGGUCUCUCUCGCCUUCUUCUCCUUCUCCCCCACCGCAGUCGCCGGCCCAUUGUUUCUUGGACUCUCCGCUGCUUCCUUUCUCCUUCGCCUUGCUCCCGCUACUCACCCCCCAUUGCUAG
rnacentral:rRNA from 1 species